AUUGAACGCUGGUGGCAUGCCUUACACAUGCAAGUCGAACGGCAGCACGGGGGCAACCCUGGUGGCGAGUGGCGAACGGGUGAGUAAUACAUCGGAACGUGCCCAGUAGUGGGGGAUAGCCCGGCGAAAGCCGGAUUAAUACCGCAUACGACCUACGGGUGAAAGCGGGGGAUCGCAAGACCUCGAGCUAUCGGAGCGGCCGAUGUCAGAUUAGGUUGUUGGUGGGGUAAAGGCCUACCAAGCCUACGAUCUGUAGCUGGUCUGAGAGGACGACCAGCCACACUGGGACUGAGACACGGCCCAGACUUCUACGGGAGGCAGCAGAGGGGAAUUUUGGACAAUGGGGGCAACCCUGAUCUAGCCAUGCCGCGUGCGGGAAGAAGGCCUUCGGGUUGUAAACCGCUUUUGUCGGGGAAGAAACGCUUCGAGCUAAUACCUCGGAGUAAUGACGGUACCCGAAGAAUAAGCACCGGCUAACUACGUGCCAGCAGCCGCCGUAAAAC
rnacentral:rRNA from 1 species